rnacentral:rRNA from 1 species
CGGACGAGAAGCUUGCUUCUCUGAUGUUAGCGGCGGACGGGUGAGUAACACGUGGAUAACCUACCUAUAAGACUGGGAUAACUUCGGGAAACCGGAGCUAAUACCGGAUAAUAUUUUGAACCGCAUGGUUCAAAAGUGAAAGACGGUCUUGCUGUCACUUAUAGAUGGAUCCGCGCUGCAUUAGCUAGUUGGUAAGGUAACGGCUUACCAAGGCAACGAUGCAUAGCCGACCUGAGAGGGUGAUCGGCCACACUGGAACUGAGACACGGUCCAGACUCCUACGGGAGGCAGCAGUAGGGAAUCUUCCGCAAUGGGCGAAAGCCUGACGGAGCAACGCCGCGUGAGUGAUGAAGGUCUUCGGAUCGUAAAACUCUGUUAUUAGGGAAGAACAUAUGUGUAAGUAACUGUGCACAUCUUGACGGUACCUAAUCAGAAAGCCACGGCUAACUACGUGCCAGCAGCCGCGGUAAUACGUAGGUGGCAAGCGUUA